rnacentral:tRNA from 1 species
GGGCUUGUGGUUUAGUGGUAUAAUACUCCCUUAGCACGUGAUGGUCUAUGACCGUCGAUAUCCUGCUCGUCUGAGAUGGAUAGCCGUUGUUUGGGAGUGGUCCGGGGUUCGAUUCCCCGCGAGUCCA